rnacentral:tRNA from 1 species
AUUGUUUUGGCAGAUUAGUGCUUUAAAUUUAGAAUUUAAGAAUGUGAGUUAAACACAAAUAAUA